rnacentral:rRNA from 1 species
ACGAACGCUGGCGGCGUGCCUAAUACAUGCAAGUCGAGCGAAGUUUUUCUGGUGCUUGCACUAGAAAAACUUAGCGGCGAACGGGUGAGUAACACGUAAAGAACCUGCCUCAUAGACUGGGACAACUAUUGGAAACGAUAGCUAAUACCGGAUAACAGUAUUUCUCGCAUGAGAGAUAUUUAAAAGUUGGUUAUGCUAACACUAUGAGAUGGCUUUGCGGUGCAUUAGCUAGUUGGUGGGGUAAAGGCCCACCAAGGCGACGAUGCAUAGCCGACCUGAGAGGGUGAUCGGCCACACUGGGACUGAGACACGGCCCAGACUCCUACGGGAGGCAGCAGUAGGGAAUCCUCCGCAAUGGGCGAAAGGCUGACGGAGCAACGCCGCGUGAGUGAAGAAGGAUUUCGGUUCGUAAAGCUCUGUUGUUAGGGAAGAAUGGGUAUGUAGUAACUAUACAUGUAAGGGACGGUACCUAACCAGAAAGCCACGGCUAACUACGU